rnacentral:rRNA from 1 species
UAGGGAAUCUUCCACAAUGGACGAAAGUCUGAUGGAGCAACGCCGCGUGAGUGAAGAAGGGUUUCGGCUCGUAAAACUCUGUUGUUAAAGAAGAACAUAUCUGAGAGUAACUGUUCAGGUAUUGACGGUAUUUAACCAGAAAGCCACGGCUAACUACGAGCCAA